rnacentral:rRNA from 1 species
UCUAUCCUACGGGGGGCAGCAGUGAGGAAUAUUGGUCAAUGGGCGGAAGCCUGAACCAGCCAAGUCGCGUGAGGGAAGAAGGCCCUGCGGGUCGCAGACCUCUUUGGACGGGGAGCAAGGCCGCCGACGUGUCGGCGGAAGGAGAGUACCCGUAGAACAAGCAUCGGCUAACUACGUGCCAGCAGCCGCGGUAAUACGUAGGUGGCGAGCGUUAUCCGGAAUGAUUGGGCGUAAAGGGUGCGUAGGCGGCCGGCUAAGUCUGGAGUGACAGGUACCGGCUCAACCGGUCCCGGC